CACGUGUAGGCAAAUAGAGGAGAGAGAAAGAUGAUUCUGUUCUCUCUUUCUCUCGAAACCUCUCCAUCUUCUUCGUCUCCGAGAAGAUGAUUUUGUAUCUCUCUGUGGUUCUUCACGAAAUGCCGAUAACCCCUCUUUUCGUGGUUCUUCGAUGAAACGGAAUUCCUCUCUCUCGAUGACUGUCGUCGAGGAAGGAAAUCGCUGAUUAUCUCCAUCACCAUCUGGUCGAUCACGAGACGCUUCUUCUCGACUUCAACUGUUCGAUUGGCAAAUAAGAGUAAGCGAAAGGAGAAGAAGAGGAAGAAGAAGAAGAGGAAGGAGAAGGGUUGACUGAGGAGAUUGGAGGAGAUACGGAGGAGUUGAAAACGGCGUCGCAUAAGGAGCAUCGGUGAAUUCUGUAUUUGUUUGAGUAGACUUAUACAAACCAUUAACAUUUAAACUAUUUGUUUGAGUUCUGUAGGUAUGCUAGAUGCACUCGUUCUGUAUCCAUGGUGAAUUCUGUAGGAUUUGUUCAAUCUUGAGCAGCAGAUCGUCCAAGCUGAUUUGGACAACAGUUUUUCAAAAGUUACAGAAGCUCUCUAUUUUCAGAUAGUGAAGGUGUUGGAGUUCGUUGCAAAGAAAGAAAGUCUGCAACUGCCCCACAGUUUUACAGCAUUACAAGUACUCUUAGAUUUGCUAGAAAGUGAAAAUGAGGAGACAGAGAAACUUUGCAAAUUCACCUGCAAGUGGAAUAUGUCAAGGCUUAUGUCAACUGCUGUUUACAAUGACAGUAAAUCUCUUUAAUUACUGUCUAUUUCAUGGUCAGGUCUUUUGGCACAUAUACCUUAUCUUUGUAUGGAAGAACAAGUAUCAUGCAUUUAGGUUGCUUCUAAAGUCGUACGGGCAACGAUAUUAUUGUUUGGAACUUUGUAAAUUUUUUUUAUAACCUUUAAAUAAGA